GCAAGCAGGGGUACCGGGAUGGCCUGCGCUUCCUGCAGCGGAACGGUGCGCGGACCCGGGCGGGAGAGGGCGGGGUGGGCUUGGCUCUGCUGCCCCCGCUUCCUGCGGCGGAACGGCCUCCUGAACCGGCCCAACCCCUUGCUGGCGUUGCCCCCCUCCCGCCCCCAAGGCCCAGAGGACGAGGACGAGGCAGUGGAGAGCGCCCAAGCGGAGGAUUACUCGCAGCUGCCCGGAGAAGAUCACAUCCUGGAGCACCUGCCCGCCCGGCUCAAUGAGGGUGCGCACCUCGGGACGGGAGGGGAGGAGGGAAAGAGAGAGGAGAGGACGAUGAGCGGGGGAGGGAAGCCGAGCGGGUCCUGGGCUCCGCUGCCUCCACUGGCCGCCGACCUCUCGCCCACCCGCAGCCCUGCUGGAGGCCUGCGUGGAGCCCACGGACCUGCUGACCACCCUCUCCAACAUGCUGCCCGUGCGUCUGGCCACGGCCAUGAUGGUGCCCUACACGCUGCCGCUGGAGAGCGCUCUGUCCUUCACCAUCCGCUUGCUGGAGUGGCUGCCCGACGUUCCCGAGGACAUCCGGUGGAUGAAGGAGCAGACGGGCAGCAUCUGCCAGUACCUGGUGAUGCGCGCCAAGAGGAAGCUGGGCAGGCACCUGCCCUCUAGGCUGCCGGAGCAGGUGGAGCUGCGCCGCGUCCAGUCGCUGCCGUCCGUGCCGCUGUCCUGCGCCGCCUACAGCGAGGCACUGCCCGGCUGGAUGCGCAACAACCUCUCGCUGGGGGAGGCGCUGGCGAAGUGGGAGGAGUGCCAGCGCCAGCUGCUGCUCGGCCUCUUCUGCACCAACGUGGCCUUCCCGCCCGAAGCUCUGCGCAUGCGCGCCCCCGCCGACCGCGCCCCCGCCGACCCCGCCCCCGCGGACCCAGCGUCCCCGCAGCACCCGCCGGGCCUGCCCCCUUGCUGAGCACCCCUGCUCCCGAGGCCAGGCCCGUGAUCGGGGCCCUGGGGCUGCGAGACCCCGACCCUCUCGAGGAACCCUGCCUGAGAUGCCUCCAUUACCACUGCGCAGUGAGAUGAGGAGACUCACAGUUGCCAAGAGGGGCCUUUGCCGUGGGCACCCUCGCCAGCCACUCACCAGCUGCACUGAGAGGGGAGGUUUCCACACCUCUCCCCUGGGCCGCUGAGGCCCCGCGCACCUGUGCCUUGAUCUUCCCUCCCCUGUGCUGCCCGAGCACCUCCCCCGCCCCUUUACUCCCGAGAACUUUGCAGCUGCCCUUCCCUCCCCAUUUUUCAUGCCCUGCAGAAAUAGGUGUGUGAAGAAUUAUUUAUUUUUGCCAAAGCACAUGUAAUAAAUGCUGCAGCCCAG
rnacentral:sRNA from 1 species